CUUUGUCUCCUUAAUUCCCUCUCCGAUUUAUUGCUUUUCUAUUUUAGUUUCAGCUGAAAAUCAUACAUAACGUAAAAGGAGAAAAAAACCCUUUUCUUCCUGGGAUCUAUAAAACUGAUAUAUCAUCCACUUUCCCUGAUUUCACUCUAAAAAUCUCUUCUUUGAGAUGAUAGUAAUUUCACUUUUCUUUUUUAAGGAAAAAAAUAAGGGAGAUAUUAUCGUUUCUUUGAUUUACUCUCUUUCGGGUGGGAAGUAGUUUUCCAGAAGAUUAUUAGAGAGGAAGAAGCACAAAAAAUUACAAGUAGCUUCGAUUAAAAUCAGGAAACUGUUUGUUUUCAAUUUUGGUGAAACAGAAAGUAUUUAUAUUUUAAUUUUGUACUUUUAAAUCGUUUUGGAUUUUCUUCCGUCUUUGGUUGAUUUUAGCUGUAAAGGGCCACACACCAAUGCCCACAAAAUGCCCCUUCUUGACGUCUCUUCUCUCUCUCUGUGACUUUUGAUUUGAAUGAUUUGAAAAACAAUUAAUUAAUUUUCCUUCUUCUUAGAAUUCGCUUUUUGUCUGAAAGUUUUGAUGGAGUUGUAGUGGUGUUCCUUUUCUCUUCAGUUUAUUAUUAUUCUCUUCUUUGGCUCCGUGGAGAAAUUUCUGGGGUUUGGUGGGUUUCUUUCUUUUAAAUUUCCCUGUGAGAUGUGAAAAUUUUCAUUUUUGAUAAUUUGGGUCUUCUCUCUCAGAGGCAUGUCACCUGCAGCCAAAGUCUCUGACUUUCACAGAGAAGGGAAUGACUGGUUUUGCAAAACAGGACUGUCAAGUGAUAUCACUGUUGUUGUUGAUGAUGUGAAGUUCCAUCUUCAUAAGUUUCCGCUGGUGUCAAAAUGUGGAAAGCUAGCACGGAUGUAUGAAGAUUCUGAAAGCUCCAAUAAGAAGUCUCUUUGGACAACAGUUCUUGAAGAGUUCCCAGGUGGUGCAGAUACUUUCCUGAUAGCUGCUAGAUUCUGUUACGGGACUCGCGUAGAUUUCACCUCAAAGAACAUAGUUCCCAUACACUGUGCAGCUGAGUACCUCGAGAUGACAUAUGAAUACGGAGAAGAUAACUUGAUUUACCAAGCCGAAACAUUUUUACACAAGCACGUGCUUCGCAAUUGGAAAGAGUGUAUCUUGGCCUUACAAAGCUCAAAUCCGGUGUUGAAGACUGCAGAAAAGCUUCAGACAAUACCAAAACUCAUGAACGCUGUGUCCACGAUGGUGUGUACUGACCCUAGUUUGUUUGGAUGGCCCAUGAUGAUGUAUGGUACAUUGCAGAGUCCUGGUGGAAGCAUUCUAUGGAACGGAAUACACACGGGAGCGAGAAUGAGAAGCUCGGGUUCGGAUUGGUGGUACGAAGAUAUCUCUUAUCUAAGUGUAGAUUUGUUUAGAAGGCUCAUCAAGACGAUGGAAACAAAAGGUAUACGUGCUGAAAGUUUAGCCGGUGCUAUGAUGUAUUAUGCGAGAAAGUACUUGCCUGGUUUGGGACGGUGGCAGAGCGGAACAAGUGGGAGAAGUAAAAGCAGAAGAAGUGUUGUGAGUUUUAGUUUGGCACCAGCGUCUUCGUCCUCCUCUAUGUCUCCUGUUGAUCAGAUUGUUCUGCUUGAAACCAUUCUAAGUCUUCUACCUGAAAAGAGAGGAAGAUCAUACUGCAAGUUCUUGUUAGGUCUCCUUCGUGUUGCCUUCAUUUUGGGAGUUGAUGGGAGUUGCGUACAGAAAUUGGAGAGAAGGAUAGGGAUGCAGUUGGAGCUUGCAACGCUCGAGAAUCUUCUGAUUCUUAACUAUUCUGAUUCAGAGACGCUUUAUAAUGUAGAUUGCGUAGAACGAAUGAUCCGCCAUUUUGUGUCAUCAUCAUCUUCCUCACAGUUACCUGACUUCUCUCCUCCAUCAUUGGAUCCAGAGAUGUCUCCUUCCUCUUCAGCACCCUUGAGAAAAGUGGCUAAGCUGGUCGAUAGCUACAUGGCAGAGGUUGCUUCCGAUGUGAAUCUUAAACCGGAUAAGAUGAGGUCUCUUGCAGCAGCUCUUCCAGAGUCUUCAAGACCCUUAUAUGAUGGUCUAUACAGAGCAUUUGAUAUCUACUUUAAGGAGCAUCCAUGGCUAUCAGAUAAAGACAAGGAACAACUCUGCAACAUCAUGGACUAUCAAAGACUCUCCAUAGAAGCUUGUGCUCAUGCUUCCCAUAACGAUAGGUUACCGCUCAGAGUUGUUCUUCAAGUCCUCUUCUUCGAGCAAAUGCAUCUCAGAACCGCUCUUGCAAGCGGUCUCAAUGUUGCAAACACCGAAACAGCUCAUGCACUGACCGUUCCAGGCAGGGAAACAGGACAGCAGAUAGUUCAGAGAGAUGGGUGGGUGACCGUUGUGCGCCAAAACCAGGUUUUAAAAGUUAAUAUGCAGAAAAUGAGGUCACGGGUCGGAGAACUGGAAGAGGAGUUUCAGAGUAUUAAGCAGGAGAUCAUGAAGAAGAGAGUGAAUAAGUCCUCUAGCUCCAUGAGCUCACCUCGUCUGGUCAAGAUGGGCUGCAAGUUUCUUCUUCCACGACCCUCUGAUGCCAAGAAUGAUACAGUCCAGAGCUCGUUGGCUAGCACUCCUAGAUCUUCUGCCGCUGACCACGUGCUGCCUCGCUCUUCCCGCCAUUCCAAACACCGGAAAAGCUUCUCCUUUUUCGGAUGAAUCUCCCUCCAAAAACGUUUAUCAGCUCAUCUCCUCUCAUAACCCAACACAAAGAAAGUUCCUUUUUCUUUUUCUCAGACUUUCCUUCCAGAAAGUUUCUCUCUCUUCCCGGGAAACCCAACAGAAAAGCUGCUUCUCUUCAUUGCCGAUAAUCCCAACAUAAAUUUUUUCCCUUUUCCUGUGAAAACCAACAGAAAAAGGGUUGCUUCGUUUCAAGAACAAAAGCUGGUCACUUGAAGUUGGGUCUCUUUCAGUUCAGCAAAGCGUUCUGUGUUCUUUAUCACUCUUUGGUUAAGAGUAUUUGCCGCGGUUUUUCUCACAAGGUGAAGCAAGUUUGAUCAUAUACAAAGUUUAAUCGUUUUCUGAAAACGAGAAAAGGAAAUCUUGAAAAAAAUAUCCAUUCAUUAGCCUCAUCCAUAAACAAAAGAGAACCUCAAAAUUCGCAGACCAGCAAAAAGGACUCAUAACUGAACCUUGUGAUAUGGGGCAUGGUGAAGAAGUUGCGGAUCUUGUACCACAAGGGAAAGGGUCUGUCUCUAAUCCGAGUUGUGUGGCUUCAUUGAAUUGUCUUCCAGAUUAGCUUCUUGUCCAACUUUUGUCCUUUUUUCCUUAUUAAAGAAGCUGUUGUGUUCUCUCCAAAAUGUGGAGGACUCUAUUUGCUGUUCCGCAUGAUCUAGAUUUUGACGAUUCCAUCUAUUGGUAUCCGGAAGAAGGUAAACGGGACAAGGACGACAUUCGAAAGAGUUUCAGGGAUUUCGUGGAUAGAAUAUUGGCUUUGCAAGGUGGUGACCCUAAGUUCUCACUAAAAUGUGAAGAUGGAGAUGAUGUAGCUCAUGUUGACCGCUGAAUAGGUAAAUGUUGGACCGAUUUUUACCUAAGCCAUUUGGGCUUAGUUAAAUCAAAGUGUGUGAAGAGAAAUGAAUUGGCUUAGCUCAAGUAGGAGCUCCGGUGGGUUGUCGGGUCGGGUUAAAAGAAGAAAUCAAGCUCGAUCUUGUGCUCCCGUGAGACUCGGUCUCCUCUAUUUUCACAAUUUCCUGAUAAUCAGCUUCAUGGAGAGAUCGUUGCAGAAGAUCUCGAAGCCCACCUCCCUAGAUUUGCGUGUUGAUUUCAAAUCAAAGCUAUCCAUAAAUCUCUACAUCAACACAAAUAGGGAUGUUGUCUUCUUCACCGAGAAACACACAAACUUCAAAACUAAAAACUCCAGCAAUCUCUCUUUGUUUUUAAUUAAGUGUUUUGAGAGUAUCGUAAAAGUUAAGUUCGUAUAUAAUCCGUGUUUUCUAGUGCUUGUAAAAACAGAUUAAAGUGACUGUAUCCUGCGGCUCUUCAAUGGGAGAAUCUCAUCGCACUGCGGGUGAUUCAAGAGUUACGGAAAGAGAUUUUGAUAGGUGUGAGAAGCCUUUGAAAGUAUAUGAGAGGCAAAGGUGGAAGAGUCAGAAAAGAAAUUGAAGUGUGAACACUCACGAGCGUGUGGAAGAGAGUAGAAUUUCACUGUUUAGUAUAAAUAGCUAAUUGUGUUUAGUGAUUUGGAUUAUGUGUUGAUUGUGUGUGUACAUGAGCUUGAUUAUCUUUCUGUUAAAAUCUUUAUGAGGUUGUUUGUAGAAAGAUAAGAUACACAGUUCUUCACUUCCUCUUGUAAUUCUCUUUUCAAUACCAAUACAAGGAAAUUCAGAGU